AGGACGAACGCUGGCGGCGUGCUUAACACAUGCAAGUCGAGCGAGGCCCGUCCUUCGGGACGGUGCCCUAGCGGCGAACGGGUGAGUAACACGUGGGCAACCUGCCCCUAGCACUGGGAUAACUCCGGGAAACCGGGGCUAAUACCGGAUAUGACCUUUGAGGGCAUCCUCGAAGGUGUAAAGGAUUCUGGCUAGGGAUGGGCCCGCGGCCUAUCAGCUUGUUGGUGGGGUAAUGGCCUACCAAGGCGACGACGGGUAGCCGGCCUGAGAGGGCGACCGGCCACACUGGGACUGAGACACGGCCCAGACUCCUACGGGAGGCAGCAGUGGGGAAUAUUGCACAAUGGGCGAAAGCCUGAUGCAGCGACGCCGCGUGAGGGAUGACGGCCUUCGGUUGUAAACCUCUUUCAGCAGGGACGAAGCGAAAGUGACGGUACCUGCAGAAGAAGCACCGGCCAACUACGCGCCAGCAGCCGC
rnacentral:rRNA from 1 species